UGGCCAGGGGCAGGGCAGCCAGUGCCCUCCAGCUAAGCCUGCCAGCGUCCCAUCCCUGCCUGCCCCUGCCGGGCCCCCAAGCUUCAGGAAGGAAGGUACGACCCUGCAUCCAGCUGAAGGACAGGCAGCUGGCCUCCGAGGACAGAGCAGGACAGGCCUCAGCUUCAUUAUAGAUCGUCUUCCUGGCUGUCCUCUGGAUUUGAUCUUUGCUUCAAAGCCAUUUUUUAAUGUUAGUCUUGUUUGCCAUCUGGAAAGGCUGAGAAUAAUUGAGACCAAAGCAGCAGGAAGCCAGAGGUGCCGUCAGCGCUCUGCCUGGAAAUCUUUACCUAGAUCACCCCGUCCACCAGUCACACUUUCUAUUUCCCACCACCACACCGCAUGCAACAGUACUGCUACUUCCUGUCACUACAGAGCAAGGGUCUGCUUUGGUGCAGUUCCCAGUAUUCCCACACCUUCCCACCAACCCUCACUGGAAGUCUCCUCAAAGCCCCAAGGCACCAGCU
rnacentral:lncRNA from 1 species